rnacentral:rRNA from 1 species
AAAUGCGGGAAGUAGGGUGAUCCUAUGCUGCCAAGAAAAUCCUCUAGCGAGGUUCUAGUCGCCCGUACCCCAAACCGACUCAGGUGGUUAGGUAGAGAAUACCAAGGCGAUCGAGUGAAUCAUAGUUAAGGAACUCGGCAAAAUACCCCCGUAACUUCGGGAGAAGGGGGGCCCGGAUCCUGAAGCACCUUGCGUGCUAGGGAGAUGGGCCGCAGAGACCAGGGAGAAGCGACUGUUUACUAAAAACACAGGUCCGUGCGAAGUUGCAAAACGAUGUAUACGGACUGACGCCUGCCCGGUGCUGGAAGGUUAAGAGGACGGGUUAGUCGCAAGACGAAGCUCAGAAUUUAAGCCCCAGUAAACGGCGGUGGUAACUAUAACCAUCCUAAGGUAGCGAAAUCCCUUGUCGGGUAAGUUCCGACCUGCACGAAUGGCGUAACGACUUCUCCACUGUCUCAACUAUGAACUCGGCGAAAUUGCAUUACGAGUAAAGAUGCUCGUUACGCGCAGCAGGACGGAAAGACCCCGGGACCUUUACUAUAGCUUGGUAUUGGUGUUCGGUACGGCUUGUGUAGGAUAGGUGGGAGACUGUGAAGCAUGCACGCCAGUGUGUGUGGAGUCAACGUUGAAAUACCACUCUGGUCGUUCUGGAUAUCUAACCUCGGUCCGUGAUCCGGAUCAGGGACAUUGCCUGGUGGGUAGUUUAACUGGGGCGGUUGCCUCCUAAAAUGUAACGGAGGCGCUCAAAGGUUCCCUCAGUCUGGUUGGCAAUCAGAUUUCGAGUGUAAGUGCACAAGGGAGCUUGACUGUGAGACUGACAAGUCGAGCAGGGACGAAAGUCGGAACUAGUGACCCGACGGUGGCUUGUGGAAGCGCCGUCGCUCAACGGAUAAAAGGUACCCCGGGGAUAACAGGCUGAUCUUGCCCAAGAGUCCAUAUCGACGGCAUGGUUUGGCACCUCGAUGUCGGCUCGUCGCAUCCUGGGGGUGGAGUUGCUCCCAAGGGUUGGGCUGUUCGCCCAUUAAAGCGGUACGCGAGCUGGGUUUAGAACGUCGUGAGACAGUUCGGUCCCUAUCCGCUGUGCGCGUAGGAAACUUGAGAAGGCCUGCCCCUAGUACGAGAGGACCGGGGUGGACGAACCACUGGUGUGUCAGUUGUCCUGCCAAGGGCACGGCUGAUUGGCUACGUUCGGAAGUGGUAACCGCUGAAAGCAUCUAAGCGGGAAGCACGCUUCAAGAUGAGGUUUCCAUGGGGUUUACCCCGAGAGGCUCCCAGUAGACGACUGGGUUGAUAGGCCAGAUGUGGAAGUGCAGCAAUGCAUGGAGCUGACUGGUACUAAUAAGCC